AAUGUUCCCAGGCUUUUUCUCGCCCGUGUUUUGCUUUCUACCCUGGACUUUUGAAGAAUCAUUGUCACCAUAAUAUUACUGAAUGCAUUUCUGAAAGGUAGGGUGCAUCUAAAGGCAGAACCACGUGCCUCUGCUGUUCGCAACUUGUUUGUAAAACCAGACGUUUCUCUUGCUUUCAGGAUGAUGAAGUUUUGUUUCCGGAGACGUCAAGUUUAGCCUCAUGGAAGGCAGAGACCAAUUGCGGCCGCCUGAAAAACUGAGAGCUGAUGCCAGUUUGAUUUAGCUCAGGAGGCUGAAAUUUUAUGCCCUGAAGGCUGGUGUGAUGGAAUAGACCUUCUCAUUGCUCACAAUAUUAUGAAAAAAACAUUAAAGCAACAAUUUUUAUUACUUGCCCUGGAGCCAGAGCUUUAAAAUGUACUUUCUUCUCCCCCUACCCUCCCUAACCCACUUAGCUUUUAAAAAUAAACAACCCAUUCAUGUGCUGGCUAUCGCCA